rnacentral:rRNA from 1 species
GAUGAGCCUGUGCCUGAUUAGCUAGUUGGUGGUGUAAUGGACUAUCAAGGCGACGAUCAGUAGCUGGUCUGAGAGGAUGAUCAGCCACAAUGGGACUGAGACACGGCCCAUACUCCUACGGGAGGCAGCAGUAGGGAAUUUUGCGCAAUGGGGGAAACCCUGACGCAGCAACACCGCGUGAAUGAUUAAGCCCUUCGGGGUGUAAAGUUCUGUCAAUAGGGACGAAUUUUGACUGUACCUAUAAAGGAAGCACCGGCUAACUCCGUGCCAGCAGCCGCGGUAAUACGGGGGGUGCAAGCGUUGUCCGGAAUCAUUGGGCGUAAAGCGUUCGUAGGCGGUAUGUCAAGUCUGAUGUUAAAGCCCGGGGCUCAACUCCGGUUCGGCAUUGGAUACUGGCAAACUAGAAUGUGGUAGAGGUAAAGGGAAUUCCUGGUGUAGCGGUGAAAUGCGUAGAUAUCAGGAGGAACAUCGGUGGCGAAAGCGCUUUACUGGACCAUUAUUGACGCUGAGGAACGAAAGCCAGGGGAGCAAAUGGGAUUAGAUACCCCAGUAGUCCUGGCCGUAAACGAUGGAUACUAGGUGUUG